CCAUCGCACUGCCUUGCUGGCUGCUCGCCUUUGGAUUGCCCUGCUAGAACACUACAAGGCCAUAUUCACUCCGUUUGCCAGGAGGAGUACCACUCUGCACAGCCAGAAGACGACUCUGCAGCUUUGGAACAUAUUUAUGGUGUCCACUGCUGCGCAAAAUGGUGCAACAGCUCUGGGAACAAGGACGCCGAGCAUUUCUUCAGAGUGCCUACGGACCACAGACUGGAAGCUUGGCUCCACUACGCUGACAGGCCUGACCUUAAGGACAAGCCAAGGACCCAAGUACAUGCAACUUCUGUGCUGUGCUCCAAGCACUUCACAAAGGACUGCUUCACCAGCAGUGACCGCAAAAGACUCGUGCAAGGAGCAGUCCCCUCUGUGAAGGUGCACGAGCCCAGGCUGAGGUCCCUGGUGC